CCGAGCGGCUGGAGACUGGAGUGUCUCUGACGGAGGUUGCGGCUGGACCUGGUUACGUGCUGGUGCUGUGCUCCAGAGCGGCAGAAAGCGAGUGGGAGCUGAGGUGUCUUGAAGCCGGUCCCUCAGCCUGGGAGAAGAUCUGUGGCUUCAGGAUGGGGGUCAGGGGGUCGUUCCUGGCGGCCUGCGGGAGACGCAUGGCUACCUGGAGGAAGAAUCGUGACAAGGAUGGCUUCUCAAAUUCCGGGUACCGAGUCCGGCAGAAGGAUCUGGGCAUGAUCCACAAAGCUGCCAUCGCCGGUGAUGUGAACAAGCUGCUGGAGAGCAUCUUGCUCGGGCUGAAUGACGUGAAUGACAGGGACAAGAAGAACAGGACUGCUCUACAUUUGGCGUGUGCCCAUGGCCGUCCGGGAGUGGUAGCUGACUUGGUGGCCAGAAAAUGCCGGCUUAACCUCACUGACAGUGAAAACAGGACAGCUCUGAUCAAGGCUGUACAAUGUCAAGAAGCAGUUUGUGCAUCCAUCCUGCUGGAACAUGGCGCCGACCCAAAUGUUAGAGAUAUGUAUGGCAACACGGCUCUGCACUAUGCCAUUGAUAAUGAGAAUAUAUCAAUGGCAGGAAAACUGCUUGCAUAUGGUGCAGAUAUUGAAGCAAGAAGCCAGGGUGGACAUACAUCACUUUUACUCGCUGUAAAUAGGAAAAAAGAGGAAAUGGUGGCAUUUUUGUUGAAGAAAAAACCAGAUUUAACUGCAAUAGAUAAUUUUGGAAGAACAGCCCUCAUACUUGCUGCUCGUAACGGAUCAACAAGUGUAGUCUACCAGCUUCUUCAGCACAAUAUUGACGUCUUUUGCCAAGAUAUAUCUGGAUGGACUGCAGAAGACUACGCUGCUGCUUCUAAGUUUCAAGCCAUUCGUGGACUAAUUUCUGAAUAUAAAGCAAACAAGAGACGUAAAAGUCUUCAAAAUAGUGAUCCAGAACAAGACUUAGAAAUGACAUCAGAGGGAGAGCAAGAAAGGCUUGAAGGAUGUGAAAGUAGCCAGCCCCAGGUUGAAGAAAAAAUGAAGAAAUGCAGAAAUAAGAAAAUGGAAGUGUCAAGAAACGUACAUGCUGAUGACAGUGACAAUUAUAAUGAUGAUGUUGAUGAAUUAAUUCACAAAAUAAAGAACAGAAAACCUGAUAGUCAUCAGUUUCCCAGGAAGGAGAAUGACAAGUUUGAUAGGCUUGCAAGGAAAACCUCUAAUGAAAAGAGCAAGGUUAAAAGCCAAAUAUAUUUCAGGGAUGAUCUUAAUGACAUAACUGGGUCAUCUGAAAAAACCUCAGAGGAUGAUGAGUUGCCUUACUCUGAUGAUAAGAAUUUUAUGUUACUCAUUGAACAAAGUGAAAAGGAGUGUAAAGAUUUUGUUAGCCUAUUGAAAAUCAAGAAUGCAACAGCUGCAUGUGAAGGAUCAAUAGAGGAUAAAAAAGGUUACUGUGAACAACUUAAAGUAAAAUUUCAAAAAAUGAAAAAUAAUAUUAGCAUACUACAAAAGGUACUAUCUGAAACAGACAAAACCAAAUCACAGUUAGAGCAUCAGAAUCUUGAAAGGAAAAAAAAGCUCUGUAAUUUGAGAUUCAUCUUACAACAACAAGAAGAAGAAAGAAUAAAGGCUGAAGAGUUGUAUGAAAAGGAUACAGAAGAGUUAAAAAUAAUGGAAGAGCAGUAUAGGACACAAACUGAAGUGAAAAAACAACUUAAACUGACUCUCAAAUCAUUGGAAGUGGCAUUGAAGACCGUAAGAAGUAACUCAAAUCAGAAUUCUCAUACUCAUGAAAAAGAAAGAGACCCGUGGCAGGAAAAUCACUUGAUGCGGGAUGAAAUUGCCAGACUCAGGCUGGAAAUAGACACAAUAAAACAUCAGAACCAGGAAACUGAAAAUAAAUAUUUCAAAGAUAUUGAAAUUAUAAAGGAAAACAAUGAAGACCUUGAAAAGACUCUAAAGUUGAAUGAGGAAACAUUAACAAAAACGAUAACCCGGUAUAGUAAAGAGCUUAAUGUUCUGAUGGAUGAGAAUACAAUGCUCAAUUUUGAGCUAGAGAAGGAAAAACAAAGCACGCCAAGACUGGAAACAGAAAUGGAAUCAUACCGUUGUAGACUGGCUGCAGCCCUAUGUGAUCAUGAUCAAUGUCAGUCAUCAAAAAGAGACCUACAGCUUGGUUUCCAGAGCACAGUGAAUGAAUGGUGUCAUUUACAAGAAAAUACUAAUUCUCACAUUCAGAUUCUUUCUCAGCAACUUUCUGAAGCUGAGAGUACAUCCAGUGGCCUGGAAACUGAGCUCCGUUAUGAAAGAGAGGCUCUCAAAGAAAAGACGUUGGAUAUAGAACACAUGCAAGGAGUCCUAAGCCGAACACAGUGUCGAUUGAAGGACAUUGAACACAUGUACCAAAAUGACCAACCUAUUUUGGAAAAAUACGUGAGAAAGCAGCAAUCUGUAGAGGAUGGACUAUUUCAACUACAAAGCCAAAAUCUGUUGUAUCAACAGCAAUGUAAUGAUGCUCACAAGAAAGCUGACAAUCAGGAAAAAACAAUAAUUAAUAUCCAAGUCAAAUGUGAAGAUACUAUAGAAAAACUUCAAGCUGAGUGUAGAAAGCUAGAAGAGAACAAUAAGGUGUUGAUGAAGGAAUGCACUCUUUUAAAAGAAAGACAAUGCCAAUAUGAAAAAGAGAAAGAAGAAAGAGAAGUAGUCGUGAGACAGCUUCAACGAGAAGUGGAUGAUGCCCUGAACAAACAAUUGCUGUCAGAAGCUAUGCUAGAGAUUUCAUCACAAAGUCGUGUUAAUUUAGAAGAUGAGAUGCGAAGUUCAAAGAGGAAAUUAGGCCAGAUCAGAAGUCAAGCUUAAAAUAGGAAAUGCCAUGUUAAAAAUUAGAAUGAAAAACCGAGUGGACAAAAUUGAGCAGCUUCAGAAAAUUUUGAUGCAGCAGGUAUACAAGGAAACAUAACUGCAGAAGUAGAUGAAGAGUUACUGAGCAUUUCUGUGUCAUCUACAUGCCAUGAAAGUCUUAAAGUCAAUUGUCAAUUUCUACAAAAUACCUGCUUGGAUUUGGACUGUGAUUGCGUUAUGUCAUGAGAAAGAAUGAACAUCUUAACAAUGAUGAGUCUCUCAACUCGUGAAUAAGGUAUUUUCUUAGAUCUUUGAUUUUUCUCAAAUGAUACUUUUUAGUUAUCAUCGUACAGAUAUUUUGCAUAGUGUCAGAUAUAUUCCCAAGAAUUUUAUAUUUUAAUGCUGUUAUAAAUAGUAUUAUUUUUAAAAUUUCAAUUCCUAGCAGUUUAUUUCUAACAUAUAGAAUUACAAUUGAUUUUUAUAUAUUGAUCAUGUAUCCUGCAAUCAGGAUAUUGAUCAUUGGUGCCAGUAACAUAAUUGUUAUGUUUUAUAUAUUGAUCAUUGGUGCCAGUAACAUAAUUGGUUUCACUUGGUUUUCCACAUAGAUGAUUAUGUCUGUGAAUAAAGAUAGUUUUACCUAUUUCUUUUCAGUCUAGAUGCCUUUUGUUUUCCUCCAUUUCUUCCUUCCUCCCUUCUUUAUUCCUUUUUUUCUUCCUUCCUUCCUUUCUUCCCUCUCCCAACUCCCUUUUAAAAAGUGAUUACAGUGGCUUGAAUUUGCACUACAGUGUUGAAUAGAAGUGGUAAGAGCUGACAUGCCUUCUCGAUCUUAGGGGAAAGUAUUCAGUCUUUCAUCAUUACAUAGAAUGUUAGCAUUAGGUUUUUUAAAGAUGCCCUUUGACAUGUCGAGGAAAUUCUCUUUUAUCUCCAGUUUGCUGAGACUUUUUCUUUAAUGAAAAAUGUUCAAUUUUCUCAAAUGCUUUUUCUGCAUCUAAUACAUAAUCAUAUGGUUUUUAUGUUGUUAAUAUAAUUAUAAGAUUAAUUGAUUUGGGGGAGAAGGUUAAGUUGAUAUUUAAUUUAAAAUAAUUUUUAAAUGUAGUUUUUUCUUGAAUUUUUUAGUUCAAAUCUUGUAUUCUGUUUAAAAUGCUCUAAACUUUGUCAAUUCUUUUUGAAAGUUCUGGUGAAAUAUACAUAACAUAAAAUUUAGCAUUUUAACAAUUUUUAACUCCAUAGUUCAGUGGCAUUAAAUAUAUUCACAAUGUCAUACAACAAUCAGUAUUAUCCAUUUCUAGAAUUUUUUCAUCAUCCCUAAUAGAAACUCUGUACCCAUUAAAUAUCUUCCCAUAAUCCUUCCUUCAUCCCUAGUAACCUGUAUUCUACUUUCUGUCUCUAUGAAUUUACCUAUGCUGGGUAUGUUAUAUAAGUGAAAUCAUAAAACAUCGGCUUUUUGUGUCUGGGUUAUUUCACUUAGCAUAAUGUUUUCAAGGCUCAUCUAUAUCAUACAUCAUGUAUCAGUAGUUUAUUUCCUCUUAUUUGCAAUUAAUUUUCUAUUGCAGAGAAAUACCACAUUUUAUUUAACAGUUGAUGGACAUUUGGAUUGUUUCCAGGUUUUAACUGUUACGAAUAAUGUACUGUGGACACAUAUGUGGACAUAUGUUCCUCUUGGGUAAAUACUCAAGUGGGAAUCGAGGUCAAAUGGUAACUGUGUUUAAUCUCAAGGAACUGUCAGGCUGUUAUUCAACACAGCUGUACAAUUUUACAUUUCCACCAGCAGUGUAUGAGGGUUCCAAUUUGUCCACAUCUUUUCCAGUAUUUAUUUUUCAUCUUUUUUAUUAUAGGCAUUCUAGUGGUGUGAAGUGGUACCUCAUUGUGGUUUUGAUUUGCCUUUCCCUUUGAUUUUGACCAUCCUUUCAUGUGGUUACUGGCCAUUGUCUAUGUUCUUAGAUGAAAAACCUGGUCGUUAUCCUUUGACCAUGUUUUAAUUGAUUGCCUUUUUGUUGUUGAUUUGUAAGAGUUCUUUAUAUAUUCUGAACAAGAAUGUUUUUUUUUUACACUUUUUUCAUAAACUUUGUACUAAAUCUUGUAUUCUUUAUUGUUUCUGUGUUUUAAAAUUUUGUUUUAUCAGCCUCUUUUCUCAAGAAUUUACCAUAUAUAUUAGUAUCAUAUUUCUGUAUUCCAGUCUUGUUUUCAUGAUUUGCUUCCU